AUAUGAUAAAUAAAUGGUUUGGUUUGUUUUGACAAGCAGCGUGUCAGGUUGAGUGCCGUGGCUGAGUUGAGAGGUGGGGCUAUGUCGUCAUAAAAAAAAACGGCUUCGCACCUACAUGCGUCUACACGGUGAAAGUUAGCUGGCGGUUUCAAAAAUUCCCACUUCGGAAGCCGGUUUCAAAAGCUGUUGGUUU